AUUGAACGCUGGCGGCAUGCCUUACACAUGCAAGUCGAACGGCAGCACGGGGCAACCUGGUGGCGAGUGGCGAACGGGUGAGUAAUGCAUCGGAACGUGCCAUUGAGUGGGGGAUAACGUAGCGAAAGUUGCGCUAAUACCGCAUAUUCUGUGAGCAGGAAAGCAGGGGACCGCAAGGCCUUGCGCUCUUUGAGCGGCCGAUGUCAGAUUAGCUAGUUGGUGAGGUAACGGCUUACCAAGGCGACGAUCUGUAGCGGGUCUGAGAGGAUGAUCCGCCACACUGGAACUGAGACACGGUCCAGACUCCUACGGGAGGCAGCAGUGGGGAAUUUUGGACAAUGGGCGCAAGCCUGAUCCAGCCAUGCCGCGUGAGUGAAGAAGGCCUUCGGGUUGU
rnacentral:rRNA from 1 species